rnacentral:rRNA from 1 species
CCUACGGGAGGCUGCAGUGAGGAAUAUUGGUCAAUGGACGAGAGUCUGAACCAGCCAAGUAGCGUGAAGGAUGACUGCCCUAUGGGUUGUAAACUUCUUUUAUAAAGGAAUAAAACGAGGCACGUGUGCCUUUUUGCAUGUACUUUAUGAAUAAGGAUCGGCUAACUCCGUGCCAGCAGCCGCGGUAAUACGGAGGAUCCGAGCGUUAUCCGGAUUUAUUGGGUUUAAAGGGAGCGUAGAUGGGUUGUUAAGUCAGUUGUGAAAGUUUGCGGCUCAACCGUAAAAUUGCAAUUGAUACUGGUAGUCUUGAGUACAGUUGAGGUAGGCGGAAUUCGUGGUGUAGCGGUGAAAUGCUGAGAUAUCACGAAGAACCCCGAUUGCGAAGGCAGCUUACUAAACUUUGACUGACAUUGAUGCUCGAAAGUGUGGGUAUCAAACAGGAUUAGAUACCCUAGUAGUC